UACGGUUACAUCACAUUGAAAACACCGCUUCCCGUACGAUCACCGAUGUUAAGCAAUGUUAAGCAUGGUUAGUAUUUAGAUAGGUGACCGCUUGGCAAUAUAAGGUACUGUAAG